UGUUCUGCACUCUUCAGGUGGUAUAAACCUUUGGCCUUUUACCAAAGAUUUCCAUGGAGAGGAGCACACAGGGUUUAAGUUAAUUUUUUGUGGCCCUGCUUUAGAAGGGCU